GUUAUGAACAAGCAUACAAUUGCGAGGCAUAGGUAAGUAUCAACGAUUAUACAACACUUUUUAUGGUAUAUCUACUGCAUUUGAUAGGACAUGUCGGUGAUGAGGUGAGUGCUUUUCGGGUGCAACAGGGCAUGUCAGUGCUCAUGGGAUGGAUCUAAGCUUAUAGUUGCGGGUCUGAGGCUAGGUGUGGAGCUAAGAAGGUUUUUGUUGUAGGUCAGUUGUGUCGUUAGCUCAGGUCCCUGCUCCUAAUAAACAAUACCUUGUAAAAUCUUCAACUAGGUGUGUCGCCGUUGAGGGGUGGCGUCUGUCUAUGAUUAUGUGAUAGGAGGGUCAAGAGUGUAUUUACGUUCCCUUCGGCUACACUCCUGUGUCUGCGUGUUUCACUAGAACGUUUAUGUAUCGUUUUGCUAUUUGUGCCCCUAACCAAGGGGGGCGGCGGGGGGGAGAGGAGGGGGUUGGUAGAACGUCUCGUAAUGCUUUCUGAGGCGAGUCUAGGUGCCCUUAAGGGGGGUCCCCGUUUGUCAUGGGAGUAUAGAUAGAAGGCCCUGUCGUACAUGUUGGGGAUGGUAGGUGUUCUGAGAUAUUCAACUUAUAUAC